ACCCCAACUAAUGAUUAGAAUAGCUAAAUAUAUUACAAAUGUACUAUUCAAAGAUUUUCCUCACAUGACUGAGUCUCUUAAAAUUUCAAUCAUCCUAAAUGUAAAAAUCUUACAUAUCUAACAUAUUCUUGAGCAGUCAGAACUUAGUUCAAAUUGGAAUUUACUUAUGGUUAACUACAUGUCAACUUGGCUACUCCAUGAUGCCCAGUUGUUUGGUUAAACACUAGUCUAGAUAUAUGUAAUUAACAUUUACAAUCAGUAAAACUAUCCUUCAUAAUCUGGGUGGAUCUCAUCCAAUCAGUUAAGGACAAUAGGAGCAAAGAGUGCGGUUUUCCAAAAAAGCAAUUCUGCCUCAAGACUGCAACAGAGAACUGCCUGAGUUUUCAGCCUGCUGACCUGCCCUGUAGAUUUUGGACUCAAGGCUGCACAUCAGCUCUUACCUGAUUUCCAGCUGGAUUGGCCUACAAAUGUCAGACUUGUCAGCCCCCACAAUUGUAUAAAAAUCUGAGAUAACUUUUCAUCUACUCUCUGAAAUAAGAUUUCAUCAGAGGUCAUGAGCCUGCCCGAGAGGAAAGAUGAACACAGUCCUGCUCUUAAUGAUGCCAAGGUUAAGCUUUCCUAACACUGAUCAUGUUAGGGCUGAAAGCAAAGGGAACAGCCGUAAGGAGAAAUGUAACAAGACAGGUAACACAUGCUGGGAA